UGAACGCUGGCGGUAGGCCUACCACAUGCACGUCGAACGGCAGCACAGUAAGAGCUUGCUCUUACGGGUGGCGAGUGGCGGACGGGUGAGGAAUACAUCGGAAUCUACUUUUUCGUGGGGGAUAACGUAGGGAAACUUACGCUAAUACCGCAUACGACCUACGGGUGAAAGCAGGGGAUCUUCGGACCUUGCGCGAUUGAAUGAGCCGAUGUCGGAUUAGCUAGUUGGCGGGGUAAAGGCCCACCAAGGCGACGAUCCGUAGCUGGUCUGAGAGGAUGAUCAGCCACACUGGAACUGAGACACGGUCCAGACUCCUACGGGAGGCAGCAGUGGGGAAUAUUGGACAAUGGGCGCAAGCCUGGUCCAGCCAUACCGCGUGGGUGAAGAAGGCCUUCGGGUUGUAAAGCCCUUUUGUUGGGAAAGAAAAGCAGCAGGUUAAUACCCCGCUGUUCUGACGGUACCCAAAGAAUAAGCACCGGCUAACUUCGUG
rnacentral:rRNA from 1 species